UUCAUUUAAGUGUUUAUAAUCAGGAACUUUCUUCUGGAAAUUCCAGUGACAACUGACUGCCAAGCCCUCACGAUGAGCUCUUAAGCUUUGGGCUGAACAGACCUGCGGCUUGACAAAGAAAGCUAGCGUUUUGCCUUUAGAUGUGCAUUGUUUUACUCCUGUUGCCAAUAUGAGAAGAUGCCUCGGACUGGAAAACAUCAGCACUCUCAAGCUUCUGGAAGACACACAUGCAGAAGUUGCACUUUCAGAAGAACUAUGCAACAUACACGAUGAAAUGCCAGUAAUGGUGAAAGGCUGGUAACAGCAAUGAUUGUCUUUGCUCCAUCCAGCUGAACCCUUGAACAUCUCUCAGGAA